CGUUCUUUCCGCCGUUGGACGCCAUAGUGAGCGUUUGGGAGGACGAACAGAGAGACUAGAGGGAAUUCAGCGGUGGAAAACUAUCGUCGCGUUCAUUGUACUUAGAGCGCGUGUUUCGACGUCGGAUUGAACAAACGAUGGCUGGAACGGAGACAUCGAAUGUAAAAACGGAAACGCCGAAUACUCCCGCCGAGAAUAGUAAUGAGAAUCCACGCGAACGGAAUCCACCGGGCGGCGGCGGAGGAAAUCGCGGGCCUCGCGGCCGAAAAGGAGGCACGCGUUUCUCGGGCGGCCGCGGUGGCGGAAUGGGUGGAGGCGGUGGCGGCGGCGGCGGCGGCGGUGGAGGUGGUGGCGGCGGCGGAGGCAGAAAUAAUGAAGCGAUGAAGAUAAAUGAUUCCAUGGAUGGAGGUAUGGACAACCCAAUGUCAGAAAGUAUGGGUGGGAUGGGUGGAAUGGGUGGGAUGGGUGGGAUGGGUGGUGGCGGCGGCAUGGGUGGCGGCGGCAUGGGUGGUGGCGGCAUGGGUGGUGGAGGCGGCAUGGGUAUGGGUCGUGGCGGUGGAAUGCGAGGAGGUGGAAGAGGCGGACGUGGUGGUGGAGACAGAAACAUGGGUGAUAGAAACAGAUCGCAAGAUGAUCGACUGAUGGAGCGUAUUAUGGCUAUCAGUGGACCCACUCAUGAGCUUCCUCCUCAAGAAAUGACAGAAAAGAAAUUUAGCGGCAGAAAUCGUUUGUACAUUGGAAACUUGACAAAUGACGUAACAGAAGAAGAAAUACAGACUAUGUUCCGGAAAUAUGGAGAAAUAUCUGAACUGUUUGUGAAUAAAGAGAAGAGUUUUGCUUUUCUCAGAAUGGAUUAUAGAAUAAAUGCAGAGAAAGCAAAGCAUGAAUUAGAUGGUACAGUGCGCAAAGGUCGUGCAUUAAAAGUACGUUUUGCUCCUCACUCAUCGACAAUCAAGAUCAAGAAUCUUACACCUUGGAUAUCCAAUGAGCUUCUCGAGAAAGCUUUUAGUGUAUUCGGCGAGGUCGAACGUGCAAUAGUUAUUGUUGACGAUAGAGGUAAAAGCACUGGCGAAGGAGUAGUCGAAUAUUGCCGAAAACCGUCGGCUCAGUUAGCUCUGAGGAAAUGUACAGAAGGUUGCUACUUCCUCACGGCCUCGCUUCGGCCAGUAGUUGUGGAGCCGUUUGAGCAACAAGAUGACGUAGACGGUUAUCCGGAUAAAAAUCUACCACGCAAAAAUCCAGAAUUCUUUAAGGCUCGUGACAUUGGGCCACGAUUCGCGCAAUUGGGUAGUUUUGAGCACGAAUAUGGUACACGAUGGAAGCAAUUACACGAAUUGUACAAGCAAAAGGAAGAAGCGCUCAAACGAGAAAUGGCGAUGGAGGAAGAAAAACUUGAGGCCCAAAUGGAAUUUGCUAGAUACGAACAUGAGACGGAACUUUUGAGAGAACAAUUGCGUAUGCGUGAAGCGGACCGCGAAAGGCAAAAGAGAGAAUGGGAGAUGAAAGAGCGACAAGCCGAAGAACAAAGAACUCGCGAAGAAGAAUUAAGACGACGCCAGCAGGAGGAAAUGGCGAUACGCAUCAGAAGACAAGAAGAGGAACUGCACAGACGUCAACAGGAAAAUAAUUUGUUUAUGCAGGAACAAGCUAUCCGUAGUAGUGGCGGUGGUCUCGGCGGCGGAAAAAAUUACGAUUCCGUUAGUAACAAUGAUCGUGAUGGAUAUGGUCAACCUGACGGUGGAAGCGGCAUACCAGUGAUGAUAUCGCCAGCUGGUUGAACGCAAACAGAAACAGAAAUUUUUAGUCUGAUGCCUUGAAAGGACCAGUCCAUACUUGACAUCAUUACAUGAAGUAACUGCCUUAUGUGCCUAAGGUCUAUAAUGGAAAUGGAGAUAGAGGAAUGACCAAACGGAUGUGACAUAGGCCAUCAAUUUUACAUUAAAGAUGCAUAAAGGAUAUGAAGAAAUGAUAAUUGGUAUAAUAUGCAUAAAGGAUAUGAAGAAAUGAUAAUUGGUAUAAUAUAAAUUAUCGACUUUAUUUUAAAGAAAUCUUGGGAUACCCUGUACAAGGACGUCAAAUUGACAGGUCAAAUUGACAGGGAGCAUUUCGCGCAGUGAUCAGGAGCAAAGAUGACUUGCUGAAUUAUUCACAACUAUUAUUUUUCCCUUUUUAUGUUUCAAUAAAUAUGCAGUUCUCUUGUUAAU
rnacentral:misc_RNA from 1 species